GGCAGCACGGGAGCAAUCCUGGUGGCGAGUGGCGAACGGGUGAGUAAAGUAUCGGAACGUGCCCAGUCGUGGGGGAUAACGCAGCGAAAGUUGUGCUAAUACCGCAUACGAUCUAUGGAUGAAAGCGGGGGAUCGCAAGACCUCGCGCGAUUGGAGCGGCCGAUAUCAGAUUAGGUAGUUGGUGGGGUAAAGGCUCACCAAGCCGACGAUCUGUAGCUGGUCUGAGAGGACGACCAGCCACACUGGAACUGAGACACGGUCCAGACUCCUACGGGAGGCAGCAGUGGGGAAUUUUGGACAAUGGGCGCAAGCCUGAUCCAGCAAUGCCGCGUGCAGGAUGAAGGCCUUCGGGUUGUAAACUGCUUUUGUACGGAACGAAAAGGCUCUGGUUAAUACCUGGGGCACAUGACGGUACCGUAAGAAUAAGCACCGGCUAACUACGUGCCAGCAGCCGCGGUAAUACGUAGGGUGCGAGCGUUAAUCGGAAUUACUGGGCGUAAAGCGUGCGCAGGCGGUAAUGCAAGACAGAUGUGAAAUCCCCGGGCUUAACCUGGGAACUGCAUUUGUGACUGCAUUGCUGGAGUGCGGCAGAGGGGGAUGGAAUUCCGCGUGUAGCAGUGAAAUGCGUAGAUAUGCGGAGGAACACCGAUGGCGAAGGCAAUCCCCUG
rnacentral:rRNA from 1 species